rnacentral:rRNA from 1 species
UACAGAGGUCCCAAGCGUUACUGAGAAUCACUGGGUUUAAAGGGUGCGUAGGUGGUCCGUUAAGUCAGUUGUGAAAUCCCCGGGCUCAACUCGGGAACUGCUUCUGAUACUGGCGGACUUGAGGCCAGUAGGGGUCACUAGAACUGACGGCGGAGCGGUGAAAUGCGUAGAUAUCGUCAGGAAUGCCGGUGGUGAAGACGGGUGACUGGGCUGGUUCUGACACUGAGGCACGAAAGCGUGGGGAGCGAACGGG